rnacentral:rRNA from 1 species
UACGAAGGGGGCUAGCGUUGCUCGGAAUCACUGGGCGUAAAGGGUGCGUAGGCGGGUCUUUUAAGUCAGGGGUGAAAUCCUGGAGCUCAACUCCAGAACUGCCUUUGAUACUGAGGAUCUUGAGUUCGGGAGAGGUGAGUGGAACUGCGAGUGUAGAGGUGAAAUUCGUAGAUAUUCGGAAGAACACCAGUGGCGAAGGCGGCUCACUGGUCCGGUACUGACGCUGAUGUGCGAAAGCGUGGGGAGCAAACAGGAUAGAAAC